rnacentral:rRNA from 2 species
AUAAUAUAAGAUUUAACCUGCCCGCUGAAUUAGUUGAAUGGCCGCGGUAUUUUGACCGUGCAAAGGUAGCAUAAUAAUUAGUUUUUUAAUUGAAAGCUGGAAUGAAUGGUUGGACGAGAAAAUUUCUGUCUCUUUUUAAUUUUUUUUGAAUUUAAUUUUUAAGUUAAAAAGCUUAAAUAGUUAUAGAAGACGAGAAGACCCCAUAGAGUUUAAUGUAUAAAUUUAUUUAAUUAUUAAGGAAUUUUUUAAGUUGAUUAAUAUUAUGUAUUUUGUUGGGGUGACAGGAAGAUUUAAAUAACUCUUUUAAAUUUAAACAUUGAUUUUUGAAAAUUUGAUCCGUUGUUUAACGAUUAUAAGAAUAAAUUACCUUGGGGAUAACAGCGUAAUCUUUUUAGAGAGUUCUUAUUGAAAUGAAGGGUUGCGACCUCGAUGUUGGAUUAAAAUUAAUUUUUGGUGCAGUAGCUGAAAUAUUAAGUCUGUUCGACUUUUGAAAUUUUACAUGAUCUGAGUUUAAACCGGUGUGAGCCAGGUUGGUUUCUAUCUUUAUAAAUUUAAAAUAUUUUAGUACGAAAGGACCAA